rnacentral:rRNA from 1 species
GACGAACGCUGGCGGCGUGCCUAACACAUGCAAGUGGAGCGACGAACCGGGCUUCGGCCCGGGGCCAAGCCGCGAACGGGUGAGUAACACGUGGGUAACCUGCCCUGAUGAUUGGGACAACCCGAGGAAACUCGGGCUAAUACCGAAUGUGCCCUCCGACCAUAAGGUCUGCGGGGAAAGGAAGCUUCGGCCUCCGCAUCGGGAUGGGCCCGCGGCGCAUUAGCUUGUUGGUGAGGUAACGGCUCACCAAGGCGACGAUGCGUAGCCGGUCUGAGAGGACGAUCAGCCACACUGGGACUGAGACACGGCCCAGACUCCUACGGGAGGCAGCAGUGGGGAAUCUUGCGCAAUGCGCGAAAGCGUGACGCAGCAACGCCGCGUGGGGAAGACGGCCUCGG